UCAUUUUUUUAGUAAACUGCUACUAAAGUCUGUAGUAAUGCAACAUUUACUAAAAUUUUUAGUAAUUAUAACAUAAAAUUUUAGUUAUGUUGCCUGGAAUCACUAAAGUCUUAUGUUACCUUUACUAAAAUUCUAUUUAUCUGUGAAUUUUUUAGUGAAAGUAACUAAAAUUUUUAGUUUUAUUGCUCUUUUACGUCUUUUACUAAAGUUUAGUAGGCAAUUUAGUCAAAUUCUUUACUAAAGUUUCCAGUAAAGACAUAACUACUAAAAAUCUUUAGUUAUGUCAACUAGAAUUUUAGGAUUAAUGACUACAAUCAUUUUUUCUUCGUUUACUAAAGUUUCGCCACGCCAAUCAAAAAUUUAGUUGAUAUCACUAAAGUGACACAUUUUUAAACCAAUUAAAUUUUUAGCAAAAAAUUAGGUUUUUUUUAUUUCCUCUAUAUCAUUUGAUAAUAAUUAUUUCUGAUCAAGUUAAUUUGCGCAAAUAUAAGAGACGUAAUAUCUUUUAUAUAUUGUCUUUGUUCCAAUGCAAGAUGUUGCAUCUCAAACUAUUUUUAUUGUUUUAUUGGGGUGCCGAGGUCCCGAAAAAAAAUGCAUGCAGAAGAUUUGUGUGAAGAACGCAUACAACACAUAUACCGGAGGCUUUAUUUUUUCUCACCCUUUCUUACCCACACACAAAUUUUUCUCCUUAGCACCCUCUAAAGUAUUUCACAAUAUUCAGUUCUUUGUGGAAUUUUCCAUCGAAAGUACGCAAAAUAUUUUGUCUUCAAUCAAUGUGAUAUGUGAAAAGUAAAUUUAAUCCAUUUGUAUAGUAGUUUUGAGAGUGAAAAUUGUGGAAAAGCCGAUUGUUAAAAAAAAAGGAUAAACAUGACAAGGUAUUGUAUAAUUUAAGUGAAUAACAAUUCUUUAUAUUACGAAUUGAUUUACAACAAAUAAAAUUAUCAACUUUGAAUUCAACCAACUAAUUAUAUGAUUUUACUAUCUUGCAGUAAAACAGGAAGAGGAAUGGAUCAUAUUCUCAUCGAAGCCUUCCUGUCUGUACCUGAAUGGUCUGCCCAUCCCCAAUAAUAAUUGAAACAGGAUAAAGGAAAUCCAAUGGGAAAAAUUAAAAUGUAAAGGUAAGUACCUACACAUUUGCCGUGAAAUAUAUUGCAUCCAAAAACUUAUCAAUUUAUAAAAUCCAAAAUAUUAAUUCUUGUUCUAAUUUAACAGAUUUUACCGAAUGAGCGCAUUCAACCCGUAAUCAAAUUUUGGAAACUUAGAUUGAACGAAGAGGAUAAACACGAAAAGGUACUGUAUUUUCUGUAUGAGUUACUUCCAUUAAUUUUAUCAAAUUAUUUGCAAAUUCUAUGAUUUUACUACCUUGCAGUUAAUCAGACUACAAUAAACAACCGGAAAAUGGGUCAUAUUCUCAUCGAAGCCGUCUUGUCUGUACCUGGAUAGAGUCAUGAUCGAAAACAUUGAUUGAGAUAGGACAGAGGAAAUCAAAUCACGAGAAAUAAAGUUUAAAGAUUCCGCCAACUGACAUAAAGAACAGAACUUUCGCGAUUCCUUGAAAGGGUACUUUGGAAGAAAAUGACGCUAAGACACUCACAUGAAUCUGCCGAACUUCACUGAACAAGAAGGCUUUUCAAAACGGGAUACCUGCCUAGUUAAUUAUUAUAACUAUUACAUACAAUGUAAUAUAAAUUAAAUUGAAAUAAAAAAUUAUUUUUUUUAAAUCAAAAUUCAAUAUUUAAUUUUUUUUAGUCAAACAAACUGGAUUUCCAGUUAGCAUGGCUAAACUUUAGUAAUCCAAGAAUUUUUAACAACUAUAGUCAUGUAAAUGAAAAUGUCUGUUCUCAUUCCUAAAAUUUAGUAAUCGAAGAAUUUAGAAUAAAUAGUUUUAUCAACAAAAACCUCUGUUGACAUUCCCAAACUUUAGUAAUAUACAGACGUAAAACAUUUUAAUAAUCAUAACUAAAUAUUCUGUUGAGAGAACUAAAAUUUUUCGUUUUGAGCAACUACUAAAAUUUUAGUAAAAAUUUCUUUACUAAAAUUCUCUACUAAAGUCCAGUCAGUGCCAGUUUUAGUAAUGAUAACUAAAAUCUGAAUUACAGUGUAGGUU